GACAUAUUCCAAGGAUUGUAACCUGCUCUGCAGAAGCCAUGUUCGAGCGAUCAUAGUAGCCGUAUUAUAAGAGGAAAAAAAAAUGUCAAUGUCUUGAUCUCAAUCAAGGAUAGAACUCACAUAUAAAAUUGAUGUUUUCAUACCACAGAGCAUUACACAGCGAUGAAAAGGAAGGAGUCAGUGGCAGCAGGUGCAGCCACCCUGGCCCCAGGAGGGCUCUGCAGCAGCUCGCGUUUCCUUUCUGGAUCUGGUGCCAAUUAGUGAGGCUGAGCCCAACCCCCACUGCCCAGAGCCUUGGACCACUGCUCAUGGGCCCAUCAACGGAGUCCUGAGGAACAAGAGCUCCUCAACCUCAUCUGGUGGCCUUUGCCUGCACAGCCCAGCAAGAGUGUCCACGACGAGCUGGGUAAAAAAUCCCAGAGAUGGGAUGAAAUGAACAUCAUGGUGACAUAUCCAGCUUUAGACAAAGACUGUGGUUUCAUGAAAAUAGAUGAACCCAUCCCUCCUUACCAUAGAUAGUAUGGUGUGAUGAUGAAGAUGACCCAGAAAUCCCUGAAGGCUGACCUUAGGCAAGAAAUUAGGUGCUGCUGCUGAAUGCUGGCAGCCAAAGUAUCUGGUUCAUGAACAAGAGAGCAGUGAAGAUGAGGAUAGUGACCUCCCACCUGAAAAACAAGAAGAAAAAAAAAAAAAAAAGCAAGUGUCAAUUUGAAAUGGAAGGAAGCUUCAGGGGCACCUGAGGGGCUCAGUGGUUGUGUUUGCCUUUGGGUCAGGUCGUGAUCCCAAAUCCUGGGAUCGAGUCCUGCAUCGGGUUCCCUGCAGCGAGCCUGCUUCUCCCUCUGCCUGUGUCUCCGCCUCUCUCUGAGUCUCUCAUGCAUAAAUAAAUAAAGUCUUUUAAAAAAAAGAAGGAAAGGAAGGAAGCUUCACUGCAAUGAAGGAUGGAAUAUUAAAUUAGCUAGACAAUUAAUUUCAAAGGACCUACAUGAGGAGAAGGAAGAUGAAGGAAUGUCAGAGACUGCAGCUGAAGAAAGCAUGAACACCAGGUCCCUGAAACCAAGGCUUGCCCAUUUUGAUUUCCAUAGCAAUGGGAGUAUUUAUGCCACACAUACCUGGUUGUGAAAGAAAGUCAUUCUGCAAAUGAUUUGUGGCAAAAUGAAGGUGAUGUCACAGCCACCACAGUCACUGUCACUCCCACACCUAUGGAGUCUGCAGACCUCACCCGUACUAUUCCAGGUGCCAGUUUUCUUCCAUUUGGCUCCUUUUAGCAGCCCAGCUAUGGCAAACUCUGAAGAUAUUUUAUCCUCUGUGGCAUUUUGGCUUAAGAAGAAUUUCAAAUUAAGAUACUUCCCUAAGGAGGACACAAAAUUUAAAGCCAACCUUUUCAGGAGGUUUCAGUCUUAAGUAGAAUGUGUCCUGUAUUUCCACAGGAUUCCCCCAACUGAAUAGAUUCCAGUGAUUCUGUUUGUUUUCCUCUCCAAAGGGCUGCAGAGCAGAAAUGGAAAAUAACAGAUUCCUAAUCCCAGAGAUAGCUGAACUGUGAAAUAUAUUAGUUCAGUGUGUGGUGAUGUAGUUAAUGACAGAGUAAGCUCAAUCUUUAAUGUCCUUGUGUGAUAUUUCUUUACUUUUAGCAACUACACCCUCAUUCUUCAAUCUAAAAAGCCAAUCAUUUCACCUCUCAAUUUUCUUUCAAGUUUGUCAAAAAAAAUCACUGGAAAUAAUAACUAUUGCACAGUCUUUGUAAGUUAAAAAUAUAAGUGGGAAAAUUUUUAACUGAUUUAAUUAUCAGGCCUGAUGUGGGGGAAACACAGGCACCAAACAGGCUUUCCCCCAUUUCUCCUCUGAUUUUUCUGCUCAUUCAUAGCUAAUGCAAACAUCCUCAAUCCAGAAACUGGAAACUCCAGGUCCCCAUCAGAGUCCAAAUGAGCACGAGAUAUGAAGACAUGCUUGCUUACCUUUCUCCAUUGAGGCCUGGCCCUGGGCAGGAUGCCAGCCCACAGAAGAUAGGGCAGGUCAGCAGCCCUCCUCCUGCUCCCCUAACUCAUCUCCUCCUCCGCUGCCAGCCUGCUCACCUGUGCUGAAGCCCUCCACCACCCCUGUGGUGCUGGAGCCACACCUGUAAGAGGGAGUAGGCAAUGUGAGAGGGAGGGAAAGCUCUCCCCCUACUGGCACUAUUGUAAGGUGGCUUCGUGCACUUUGGGCUCGUGGUUGGUGACACCAUUUUUGUCACUGGUGCUUUUGUGGGUGUUCUGGCAAUCGGCCCAUCAAUGUGGACUUUCGCUGAAAUUCUCUGGGGCUGGGCAUAUGAAUCUCUACCUGGCUGACUGCUUGAAGCUCCUAGGACUCAGAUGUCAUCUUCAGCUUCUCUGUGCUGAGCUGAAAGGGCUCUUCCAGAUGUUCUGAGACAAGACCUGAGCGAUCCAUUUUGAGGACCAUUCUUGAGAUGACAAGGAGGAGGAUAAUGGAUUUGGAGAAAGUGGUGAAAACCUGGGACAGUUGAAAUAGAGCAACUUGAUUUCCAUCUCCUAAGGACAUUACAAUGAUUGUAGCAAGGCAUGAAGAACACAAAUGAAAUUUGAGAUCCUGAAAUAUUCAGAUGUUGCAUCUGGAAGAUUUCUUGACAGCCCACAUGCAUCAGCAGAUUGUGGGUUGGGAAUUUUUGGCUGCAGUGUCAAACACAGGCACAAAUGAGUAAGACAUGGUUCCUCUAUCAGGCAAGUCAGGAAGUGCUAAUAAUCUCUAACCUUGUCUGACCAUCAGCAUUUCCAGGCGUUCCCUGGGGCACUCACCCACAGGUGUCCAGGCGAGAAUACAAUGCGGAUGGAGGACUACAGCAUGUCAGGGCUGUGUGAAGUACCUGCCCAGGUGCAUCUGCCCUCGAGAAGGAGGCACAGCCAGAACAUGAGAACUCCCAGAACCAUCUAUGGCAAUGCUCUCUGACCCUCAGACGUUCCAAAAUGAUGAAAACCAAGAGUAACCCCAACCUAACAGACCCAACCCAUAGCCUGUUCUCGAAACUUCCCAAACCAACGCCGAAACUCGCCCCACCCAUCAUGCCUCCAGGCCAAUGGGCAGGACAAAAACUCAGGAAGAACAUUCAAUGCCCAGACAAGUAAGUGUGUUGUUUUGUUUUCCCAAGCAGUACUGAUGGAAGUUUAAAUAAACAAGCACUCACCCCUCCCGCCAAGGAAGGGCGGGAAGCAGCAGUCAGGUGUGUGAACACGAUGAACACAGGAUGAUAGGGGGCCAGAUAGGAACAGACCAGCCCCAGGAAAGCCCACUUCCUUUAUAUGCUGUCUGUGUUUUCCCAUAGGGGUUCUUGGGGGCAACUCUAUACGAGCAGUAAGAGCUCACUGAAGACUUACUUUGAAAAAAAGACCUAAAAGAGAAGCGUUUGUAGACUCAAUUUAAUGUGGCAUCGGGUAUGUGGCACCACUGCAUUCUGCCCUGGUGCAAGCAGGCUUUCCUGCCGCGUAGAGCCUGUAAAGUCCUCUCUUUCUACAGCCAGGGUGGCAGAGACAGUUUCAAAGAAAAUGAAACACUGCUUAGUCACACAAGUUUUCCAUUCUUCCUGUUUUCUGCUUCUUUGAUUAAAUGAUAGUUCCUAAAUGGGAGUAAUCAUUAUUUGUCAAAUCUUUCACAACAAUUCUUUUUUUAAAAGGAGGAUCUUAAAUAAUAAAUCAUGAGUCACCUCUCUUAUUUCCCCUAAAUGGCAUUAAGGUCAAGUUGCAGCACAAUUGAUUUCCACGUGUGUAUCUGUCUUUUCUCCAAGGGUAGGCUAUUAAAGGUAGUGAGGAUAAAAAUCAUUCCUAACUAAUUAGCUCACUCUAGAGCUAACUGCCAAUUUUUGGAACAUGUUAAAGCUCUCUCUCGGAGAGCUGGUUACCAAACUGUCACUUCAAUCAAUGGUAAAAAAAACAUACCAAUUUUUUUUUUCUGGUCUCCCUCUAAGCAAAUAAUUUAUCUCCCAUCUUUUGAGAGUUGCACACAGUUUGAGAUGGUAGGACAAAGAUCCCAUGAAAGUUUUCAUGGC